ensembl:snoRNA
GUCCGCUGAUGAGACUGCCAUGCUAAUACCGAUGCAACAGGAGGACUCUGUCUCCCUGUGUGCAUAUGAGUUCAGUUGAACUUCUCAGACUGAGACCUCUGAGGACU